GAGAGUUGAUCCCUGGCUCAGAGUGAACGCUGGCGGUAGGCAUAACACAUGCAAGUCGAACGCAGGCACAGAGGAGCUGGCUCCUGGGUGGCCGGGUGCCGGACGGGUGAGGAAUACAUCGGAAUCUACUCUGUCGUGGGGGAUAACGUAGGGAAACUUACGCUAAUACCGCAUACGACCUACGGGUGAAAGCAGGGGAUCUUCGGACCUUGCGCGAUUGAAUGAGCCGAUGUCGGAUUAGCUAGUUGGCGGGGUAAAGGCCCACCAAGGCGACGAUCCGUAGCUGGUCUGAGAGGAUGAUCAGCCACACUGGAACUGAGACACGGUCCAGACUCCUACGGGAGGCAGCAGUGGGGAAUAUUGGACAAUGGGCGCAAGCCUGAUCCAGCCAUACCGCGUGGGUGAAGAAGGCCUUCGGGUUGUAAAGCCCUUUUGUUGGGAAAGAAAUCCAGCUGGCUAAUACCCGGUUGGGAUGACGGUACCCAAAGAAUAAGCACCGGCUAACUUCGUGCCAGCAGCCGCGGUAAUACGAAGGGUGCAAGCGUUACUCGGAAUUACUGGGCAAAAAGCGUGCGUAGGUGGUCGUUUAAGUCCGUUGUGAAAGCCCUGGGCUCAACCCUGGGAACUGCAGUGGAUACCUGGGCG
rnacentral:rRNA from 1 species